rnacentral:rRNA from 1 species
AGCGGUAACAGGGGUAGCUUGCUACCCGCUGACGAGCGGCGGACGGGUGAGUAAUGCAUAGGAAUCUGCCCGAUAGUGGGGGAUAACCUGGGGAAACCCAGGCUAAUACCGCAUACGUCCUACGGGAGAAAGGGGGCUCCGGCUCCCGCUAUUGNAUGANNCCUAUUUCGAAUUANCUAGUUGGUGAGGUAAUGGCUCACCAAGGCAACGAUCCGUAGCUGGUCUGAGAGGAUGAUCAGCCACAUCGGGACUGAGACACGGCCCGAACUCCUACGGGAGGCAGCAGUGGGGAAUAUUGGACAAUGGGCGAAAGCCUGAUCCAGCCAUGCCGCGUGUGUGAAGAAGGCCCUCGGGUUGUAAAGCACUUUCAGCGAGGAAGAACGCCUAGUGGUUAAUACCCAUUAGGAAAGACAUCACUCGCAGAAGAAGCACCGGCUAACUCCGUGCCAGCAGCCGCGGUAAUACGGAGGGUGCAAGCGUUAAUCGGAAUUACUGGGCGUAAAGCGCGCGUAGGUGGCUUGAUAAGCCGGUUGUGAAAGCCCCGGGCUCAACCUGGGAACGGCAUCCGGAACUGUCAAGCUAGAGUGCAGGAGAGGAAGGUAGAAUUCCCGGUGUAGCGGUGAAAUGCGUAGAGAUCGGGAGGAAUACCAGUGGCGAAGGCGGCCUUCUGGACUGACACUGACACUGAGGUGCGAAAGCGUGGGGUAGCAAACAGGAUUAGAUACCCUGGUAGUCCACGCCNUAAACGAUGUCGAC